rnacentral:rRNA from 1 species
GACGAACGCUGGCGGCGUGCUUAACACAUGCAAGUCGAACGGUGAAGCGCCUUCCUUUUUGGUGGGUGUGGAUGAGUGGCGAACGGGUGAGUAACACGUGAGUAACCUGCCCCCUUCUUCUGGAUAACCGCAUGAAAGUGUUGCUAAUACGGGAUAUUCUGGGUCUGUCGCAUGAUGGGUCUGGGAAAGAUAUUGUUUCGGUGGGGGAUGGGCUCGCGGCCUAUCAGCUUGUUGGUGGGGUGAUGGCCUACCAAGGCGGUGACGGGUAGCCGGCCUGAGAGGGUGGACGGUCACACUGGGACUGAGACACGGCCCAGACGCCUACGGGAGGCAGCAGUGGGGAAUAUUGCACAAUGGGCGCAAGCCUGAUGCAGCGACGCCGCGUGAGGGAUGGAGGCCUUCGGGUUGUGAACCUCUUUCGCCAGUGAAGCAGGCCUGCCUCGUUUGUGGGUGGGUUGACGGUAGCUGGAGAAGAAGCGCCGGCUAACUACGUG